ACAUACGACCAUACCUACUGGAAAACUCGGGAUCCCGUCCGCUCUCCCAUAGAUAAGCCAGUGAGGGCCGGAUUAGUAGUUGGGUCGGUGACGACCAGCGAAUACCUGGUGUUGUAUGUC
rnacentral:rRNA from 1 species